rnacentral:rRNA from 1 species
GCAUAUCAAUAAGCGGAGGAAAAGAAACUAACAAGGAUUCCCCUAGUAACUGCGAGUGAAGCGGGAAGAGCUCAAAUUUAAAAUCUGGCGGUGUAACAGCUGUCCGAGUUGUAAUUUCAAGAAGUGUUUUCUGUGCCAGACCGUGUACAAGUCUCCUGGAAUGGGGCGUCAUAGAGGGUGAGAAUCCCGUCUUUGACACGGACUUCAUAUGGUGCUCUGUGAUACACUCUCAAAGAGUCGAGUUGUUUGGGAAUGCAGCUCAAAAUGGGUGGUGAACUCCAUCUAAAGCUAAAUAUUGGCGAGAGACCGACAGCGAACAAGUACCGUGAGGGAAAGAUGAAAAGCACUUUGGAAAGAGAGUGAAACAGUACGUGAAAUUGCUGAAAGGGAAACGCUUGAAGUCAGUCACAUUUGCUUGAAUUCAGCUACUCUCUCGAGGGUGGUGUACUUUCACAGUGAAUGGGCCAGCAUCACUUUUGGCUGCUGGAAAAGGGCAGGAGAAAUGUGGCACUCUUUUUAAGGGUGUGUUAUAGUCUUCUGUCAUAUACAGUGGCUAGGAGUGAGGAAUGCCUUUUUUGUAGGAUGCUGGCAUAAUGGCUUUAAACGACCCGUCUUGAAACACGGACC